CUUAGUUUAAUUAAAAGAAUUUGUAACUUGUAAUUAUAAGGUUCAGGCUAGC
rnacentral:tRNA from 1 species